GUGGGGAAUAUUGGGCAAUGGGGGAAACCCUGACCCAGCAACGCCGCGUGAAGGAAGAAGGCUUUCGGGUUGUAAACUUCUUUGACCAGGGACGAAACAAAUGACGGUACCUGGAAAACAAGCCACGGCUAACUACGUGCCAGCAGCCGCGGUAAUACGUAGGUGGCAAGCGUUGUCCGGAUUUACUGGGUGUAAAGGGCGCGUAGGCGGGAUGGCAAGUCAGAUGUGAAAUGCCGGGGCUUAACCUCGGCACUGCAUUUGAAACUGCUGUUCUUGAGUAUCGGAGAGGCAGGCGGAAUUCCUAGUGUAGCGGUGAAAUGCGUAGAUAUUAGGAGGAACACCAGUGGCGAAGGCGGCCUGCUGGACGACAACUGACGCUGAUGCGCGAAAGCGUGGGGAGCAAACAGGAUUAGAAACCCGAGUAGUCC
rnacentral:rRNA from 1 species